UACGGGGGGGGCAAGCGUUGUUCGGAAUUACUGGGCGUAAAGGGCUCGUAGGCGGCCAACUAAGUCGGAUGUGAAAUCCCCAGGCUCAACUUGGGAACUGCAUCCGAUACUGGAUGGCUUGAAUUCGGGAGAGGGAUGCAGAAUUCCAGGUGUAGCGGUGAAAUGCGUAGAUAUCUGGAGGAAUACCGGUGGCGAAGGCGGCAUCCUGGACCGACAUUGACGCUGAGGAGCGAAAGCGAGGGGAGCAAACGGG
rnacentral:rRNA from 1 species